rnacentral:tRNA from 1 species
GAGAUAUUAGUAAAAUAAAUUACUCCACCUUGUCAAGGUGAAAUUACAAGUUAGACUCUUGUAUAUCUUU